UGCAACAUCCGCUCGCGGCUUAGAGUCAGCUCAGUCAGGUCAGAGCACAUUUCCAAUUCCAGCGAUUGAAACUUGGAAGACCCUGUUGCUGAUUUGUGACUGGGUCCUUUGCGGCUGUGACAGAGCCCUGUGGAAGGCUUUCUCUACAUUUAACAGUACCUCGAGACUACUGAAAUAGUGAUUAAUUAGUGGAGCUGUUAGCUGUGCAGUGUUCCUAUCUUGUGAAGAGAAUAUCUAGUGCGAAAUGGCUUCUGAUAAAAUCAAUAAGAUAUAUAACAAUUGGAAAGUAAAAAGCGUGUUGAUCAAUCAGGCAACCUUUAUUAUUAAUGAAAUAAUCGAUAGGCCUACCAAGUAUCCUUUGUGUUUAAGUGGGCCUGCCAAUAGGCAUUUUCCAUUUCAAUCAUUUCAUCUCAUAAUGACUCUGAAAGAAACUGACCCGCUCGACCUCAGAACAUACCAAAUUGAAUUACGCCGCAUAAUGGUAUUAAUCGAAAAAAUGGAUGAAUCAUUGAAUGAAGCAGAAGAUAGGCGUAUCGAUGAUGAAAUGGCGAGGUCAAUGAAGAUAAGACUUUUAAUAACCAAAACUUGUUUGGCCAUAGAUGAUAAGCUCAGAGCCUCAGCUGCCUCAGAGUCUGAUGCCAUAGGAGCCUUGGGCACAAGCUGGUAGCUUAGAACUCCUAGCAGAGGCCAGCAGCAACUUGAAAUGAUACGCGACGUCUACAGCGUGAUGGCGCCACGCAGGAAGGAGAGGAGUUCAACCGGUCACAGUGUUGUGGCUUUGAAUUGUUCAACUUUGGUUCCAUGGAUUCAAUUAUGAGCGGCAUAAUCUCUCUUUCAUAUUCUUAUCCCAGAAGAGGCAUUAAAUUAGAAUUCUUCAAUGUUUUAUUUACUUUAAACUUUUAGUUCAGCUAUUAUUAGAUGUCACUGGGAAUUUCAGAGGACUCUCCUUUAAAUAGAGAGAUGUGUUUAGUUUACUUACGCUGUACUUGAGACUCUUCUCUUCUUUAGAUAAGUAAUACUCGAAAGGAUUUAUUUGAACCAUCUUUAUAGAUAUACCGAUCAUAUUUUUCAUCAUCAAAAAUUACAUUAUUUGUCAUUCAUAAUUUUAUAUACAUAGGUUAGUUGCAGUUAUGCAAGUUCGUCGGAAUGUGGUAGUGCCUUCAGAAUGAAAAUUGUAGAGUCACUGUGAAGCAUUUCGUGCUAUAAACCUUGCCUUGGUUUCAUUUCUAUCAGAAUAGAUGAAUUCGAAUUUUAUUGAUAACCUGUUUAAACGUUUAUUGCUAAACUUUUAUUUUACAUUGGUGAGACUUGGAAUUUAUUUGGACUUGUGUUAGUUGCUUCUGUAGGUAUAGUGGUUGAUUCAAUGUAUAAUUUUUUCCCAGUAACUUUCGUUGAACUUCUCUGCAGUUAUCAUGUUUCAAGCAAAAAUUCUACAUUUUCUAAAGGAUGCUCCGUUGGCAAUUGAAUUUAUUCGUAGUUUUGGUGCGGGUUUCUCGGUUUAGUGUGAUUUAUCAGUAUCACCGAUUUAUUCUGCAGCAUCGAAUUGUCGAUUAUGCGUUAAUAUUUUGCUUCACUUGACUUGUUUUUUUUUGCUGUAUUUUUCUUACAAUAAAGCUUGAAAAUUUUCGCUCUCUAACAAUCAAGUUGUUUCGGUUUCAAGGAUGCUUCAAUAACAUGAUUGCUAAUCCGUUGGCGGUAAUUCGCGUUGUUAUUGCUCACAUUUACCAGUACCUACUGAUUAUAUACCUAGUUAUUUUUUCACAAAAUAACAUUUUUUCGCUUGAGAGCUGUAGUCUACUUACAAACUCUUGCAUAUCGGCCUAUGGCUACGAAUAGUAUUGACUGUUGAUGUAUCUGACGACAAAGUUGACAUGAAGAACAUGCAAUGGCCUGAAGAAACCCUGUUGAUUGGCUCUAUGCUAAUUAGAGUUCUCAUAGAGCAAAUAAUAGCUAUUACGUUUCAAGACAGUCGUGUUAAGUUGCAACCGGAUGGACCUGAUUACAUCUGCAAAUAUUGGUGUGCAGAGACGCUGUAAGUUGUUGGUUGUUUUCUGAACUUCAUAACGGGCGACUACUAAGCAUACUCGAAUUAUAGUUGACGUAUGUAUAGGGUCUCCUUAACGAUCUUACGAAUAGUUAGGCUUUUUGAUAAUUUGUACAGCAGAAGAAGAGCUACCGUGAUAGGUCUUCAGUGCCAACAUUUGCGGGACCAAUCGUCGAAGAAUGAGAGGUGUGACUUUUCGUUUGUCGUGAGUAAUUUUAUUUUGUGUUUAAAUUUGGUAAUAGUUUUUACAGCACAUUUCCUUAAGUUCAAACGCGGUCGGAAAGAAUUGACUGGUCUCGUUUCCGAAGCUGUUAUUGAUUUUAAUUUAUUUUUUUUUACUGCACGGAAAUGUUCACUUAUGAAGUUCCCAAAUGGUUUCGCGAAAAGAUAAAUAAAUACAACCGAGUCUUGGUAAACGUUUCGAAUUCUCCAAGAUGACUGUAUCUUUAGUCUUAAAAGACACUCAGCCUGUCCCACAUAUAGGGAUAUUUUGUAAGGCUAAACGCGUGGCGCCUGCUGAUGUGCAGCAUUCUUUUAGUGGCGUCGCUUGGUGGCCGGCAGCAAUAACAAAAGUUUCUAAGCAUGAACGUG